CGGCGAACGGGUGAGUAAUGCUUUGGAAUCUUCCCAGUAGUGGGGAAUAACCAGUCGAAAGAUUGGCUAAUACCGCAUACGUCUGUAAAGGGAAAGCGGGGGCUUGUAAGACCUCGCGCUAUUGGAUGAGCCAAAGUCGGAUUAGCUUGUUGGUGGGGUAAUGGCCUACCAAGGCGACAAUCCGUAGCUGGUCUGAGAGGACGACCAGCCACACCGGAACUGAGACACGGUCCGG
rnacentral:rRNA from 1 species